GCGCUAGCCGGGGAGUUAGCGGUGCCCUGUAUCUGCAAUCCGCUAUAGCAGAGGUGAUGUUCUGUUUCGGAUCGAUGAUCUGUGAAGCUGCCCAAUGUAUGUGGCGUUGAUGUUCUGGUCUUGCGCAAUGGAAACUCGUGAACCGUGUCAGGAGGGGAACCUAGCAGCACUAAGCGGGAUCUUUCGUGUGCCGCAAGGGUGCCGGGAUUGAGUCGGCAGCAUUGGUA
rnacentral:SRP_RNA from 1 species